ACGGGUGAGUAACACGUAUCCAACCUGCCGUCUACUCUUGGCCAGCCUUCUGAAGGAAGAUUAAUCCAGGAUGGCAUCAUGAGUUCACAUGUCCGCAUGAUUAAAGGUAUUUUCCGGUAGACGAUGGGGAUGCGUUCCAUUAGGUUGUUGGUGAGGUAACGGCUCACCAAGCCUUCGAUGGAUAGGGGUUCUGAGAGGAAGGUCCCCCACAUUGGAACUGAGACACGGUCCAA
rnacentral:rRNA from 1 species